rnacentral:snRNA from 1 species
GGAUGUGAGGGCGAUCUGGCUGCGACAUCUGUCACCCCAUUGAUCGCCAGGGUUGAUUCGGCUGAUCUGGCUGGCUAGGCGGGUGUCCCCUUCCUCCCUCACCGCUCCAUGUGCGUCCCUCCCGAAGCUGCGCGCUCGGUCGAAGAGGACGACCAUCCCCGCUAGAGGAGGACCGGUCUUCGGUCAAGGGUAUACGAGUAGCUGCGCUCCCCUGCUAGAACCUCCAAACAAGCUCCCAAUGGCUCACUUGCCAGAUGGCUGCAGUGGCCAAAGCUGGGCCAGGUUGAAGCCAGGAGCUUCAGCUCAGUCUCCCAUGUGGGUGGCAGGGGCCCAAA